rnacentral:rRNA from 1 species
UACGAGGGGAGCAAGCGUUGUUCGGAUUUACUGGGCGUAAAGGGCGCGUAGGCGGUCGUGACAAGUCACUUGUGAAAUCUCCGGGCUUAACUCGGAACGGUCAAGUGAUACUGUCGGACUAGAGUACAGAAGGGGCAACUGGAAUUCUCGGUGUAGCGGUGAAGUGCGUAGAUAUCGAGAGGAACACCUGCGGCGAAGGCGGCUCACUGGUCCGGUACUGACGCUGAGGUGCGAAAGCGUGGGGAGCAAACAGG